GAUGAACGCUGGCGGCGUGCCUAAUACAUGCAAGUCGAGCGAACAGACGAGGAGCUUGCUCCUCUGACGUUAGCGGCGGACGGGUGAGUAACACGUGGAUAACCUACCUAUAAGACUGGGAUAACUUCGGGAAACCGGAGCUAAUACCGGAUAAUAUAUUGAACCGCAUGGUUCAAUAGUGAAAGACGGUUUUGCUGUCACUUAUAGAUGGAUCCGCGCCGCAUUAGCUAGUUGGUAAGGUAACGGCUUACCAAGGCAACGAUGCGUAGCCGACCUGAGAGGGUGAUCGGCCACACUGGAACUGGGACACGGUCCAGAAUCCUACGGGGGGCAGCAGUAGGGAAUCUUCCGCAAUGGGCGAAAGCUUGACGGAGCAACGCCGGGUGAGUGAUAAAGGUCUUCGGAUCGUAAAACUCUGUUAUUAGGGAAGAACAAAUGUGUAAGUAACUAUGCACGGCUUGACGGUACCUAAUCAGAAAGCCACGGCUAACUACGUG
rnacentral:rRNA from 1 species